GCAGUCGGUGCAGCGCAGUCAGCGCGAGGUUGUCAACGCAGAUCACUUGAGUCUUCCCAGCACAGGUUAUCUAAGCCCUUAUUAUCUUUAAUGAUGUUCGACGAAUCAAAAGGAAUAAUUGCUAUCUCUUUUAUCUCAGCUUAUUUCCAGCAUUAAAAUACUUUGUCUUUAUCAUUUUUGCAAAGAUUCACAGUUCUUGUCUAAUAAGUCGCAGGGAAUCGUGUAUGCUUAAUUGACACGGGAGAGCAGCACAGCGCUGACUUCACACCACACACCACUAGUUGAACAAAGAGAACGUUGUUCAACUAGACUAGGGGGGAGUAGCUGAUGAGGACUGUAAUUCCCAUCAGCGCUGUGCUUAGCAAUCUAAGCCUAUUUUACCUUAUUAUUAUUAUUAUUAUUAUUAUUAUUAUUAUUAUUAUUACAGAAACUAACAGCGCAGGUACGAUCGGAUAUCUUGGAUAAAAGAGUAAGAAAUCCACCUAAGUAGAUGGAGUGAAGAAUGAUUGCACACAGAAACCUUCCCACGCAGCCAAGGUGCCUUCCUGCGCAGCCAAGUAGCUUUCCCGUGCA
rnacentral:lncRNA from 1 species